rnacentral:snoRNA from 1 species
AAACCAUGAUGAGGGCAUUGAGACCAAUAGACCUUGAACCUCUCCCACGCUUCACUGAAGCUCUCUAGAGUCUAGACCUUUCUGUUGAAGCCCAGAGAUUUCGUUCCUGAUCUU